rnacentral:hammerhead_ribozyme from 1 species
AUUCAACUGACGAGUCCCAAAUAGGAUGAAACGCGCAUCAAAUUAUAU